UACGUAGGGUGCAAGCGUUGUCCGGAAUUAUUGGGCGUAAAGAGCUCGUAGGCGGUCUGUCGCGUCGGCUGUGAAAAACCCGGAGCUCAACUCCGGGCCUGCAGUCGAUACGGGCAGACUGGAGUUCGGCAGGGGAGACUGGAAUUCCUGGUGUUAGCGGUGAAAUGCGCAGAUAUCGGGAGGAACACCAGUGGCGAAGGCGGUUGC
rnacentral:rRNA from 1 species